GACAGAGGGUGCAAACGUUGUUCGGAAUUACUGGGCGUAAAGCGCAUGUAGGCGGCAACGCAAGUCGGGCGUGAAAUCCCACGGCUCAACCGUGGAAGUGCACUCGAAACUGCGUAGCUAGAGUCCUGGAGAGGAAGGUGGAAUGCUUGGUGUAGAGGUGAAAUUCGUAGAUAUCAAGCGGAACACCGGUGGCGAAGGCGGCCUUCUGGACAGUGACUGACGCUGAGACGCGAAAGCGUGGGGAGCGAACAGG
rnacentral:rRNA from 1 species